CCCCUCUCAGGGUCACACCUGGAGAGUUUUCCAGUAUCCUACUAGUCUCGGCUACAGGAGGGAGAGUCGAGCAGAGGCCUACCCAUUCCAAUCCUAGCUUGGACAGUGGCUAGUGAGUGGAGGGCAAUCUGCUACAGGU